UACGUAGGGUGCAAGCGUUGUCCGGAAUUAUUGGGCGUAAAGAGCUCGUAGGCGGUCUGUCGCGUCGGCUGUGAAAACUCGGGGCUCAACCCCGAGCCUGCAGUCGAUACGGGCAGACUAGAGUGCUGUAGGGGAGACUGGAAUUCCUGGUGUAGCGGUGAAAUGCGCAGAUAUCAGGAGGAACACCGGUGGCGAAGGCGGGUCUCUGGGCCGACAUUGACGCUGAGGAGCGAAAGCUAGGGGAGCAAACGGG
rnacentral:rRNA from 1 species